rnacentral:rRNA from 1 species
GACGAACGCUGGCGGCGUGCUUAACACAUGCAAGUCGAACGGAAAGGCCUCUUUCGGGGGGUACUCGAGUGGCGAACGGGUGAGUAACACGUGAGUAACCUGCCCUUGACUUUGGGAUAACUUUAGGAAACUGGGGCUAAUACCGGAUAGGAGCUCCUGCUGCAUGGUGGGGGUUGGAAAGUUUCGGCGGUUGGGGAUGGACUCGCGGCUUAUCAGCUUGUUGGUGGGGUAGUGGCUUACCAAGGCUUUGACGGGUAGCCGGCCUGAGAGGGUGACCGGCCACAUUGGGACUGAGAUACGGCCCAGACUCCUACGGGAGGCAGCAGUGGGGAAUAUUGCACAAUGGGUGGAAGCCUGAUGCAGCAACGCCGUGUGCGGGAUGACGGCCUUCGGGUUGUAAACCGCUUUCGCUCAUGACGAAGCUUUGUGUGACGGUAGUGGGUAAAGAGGCACCGGCUAACUACGUG